rnacentral:rRNA from 1 species
UACGUAGGGUGCAAGCGUUUGUCCGGAAUUAUUGGGCGUAAAGAGCUCGUAGGCGGUCUGUCACGUCGGCUGUGAAAUCCCGAGGCUCAACCUCGGGUCUGCAGUCGAUACGGGCAAACUAGAGUAUUGCAGGGGAGACUGGAAUUCCUGGUGUAGCGGUGGAAAUGCGCAGAUAUCAGGAGGAACACCGGUGGCGAAGGCGGGUCUCUGGGCCGAUACUGACGCUGAGGAGCGAAAGCGUGGGGAGCGAACAGG